GGGGGGGAAAUUUUGCGACAAUGGGGGAAACCCUGAUCCAGCCAUCCCGCGUGUAUGAUGAAGGCCUUCGGGUUGUAAAGUACUUUUGGCAGAGAAGAAAAGGUGUCCCCUAAUACGGGAUACUGCUGACCGUAUCUGCACAAUAAGCCCCGGCUAACUACCUGCCAGCAGCCGCGGUAAUACCUAGGGUGCAAGCGUUAAUCGGAAUUACUGGGCGUAAAGCGUGUGUAGGCUGUUCGGAAAGAAAGAUGUGAAAUCCCCGGGCUCAACCUUGGAACUGCCUUUUUAACUGCCGAGCUAGAGUAUGUCAGAGGGGGGUAGAAUUCCACGUGUAGCAGUGAAAUGCGUAAAUAUGUGGAGGAAUACCCAUGGCGAAGGCAGCCCCCUGGGAUAAUACUGACCCUCAAACACCAAAGCGUGGGGAGCAAACAGGAUUAAAUACCCCGGUAGU
rnacentral:rRNA from 1 species